CAUGUCUAGUCUUUUUUUAAUUUUCUCUCUAUCAUCGUUGCGCAGGUACCAUGCUAAUCUUCUCUGUAUUGUUCCAGUUUUAAUAUAAGUUCAGGACCAAC
rnacentral:snRNA from 1 species